rfam:Phialocephala subalpina strain TAMH 11012 genome assembly, contig: PAC_scaffold_004
GGCGUCUUGGCGGAGUGGUUAACGCGACAGACUUGAAAUCUGUUUCCUUCGGGAGCGUAGGUUCGAGUCCUGCAGACGUCG